CAAUGACUCCAAGAUGGAUACAAUUUCCAGAACCGAAGCAAACGCGUGACAUAAAAAUCAAGAACGAUGUUGGUAUCAAGCUCGAACAACCAAAGGCGCGUGAAUCAAAUUCAUGCCUCACGUCGUUUGCCUCAACCUGCUUUGUUCGUACGACCCGCAGCUUUAUCUCGCCCUUGACAGCCAGAUGUAUUCAUCUCCAUAAUUUGCCUGUACUAACGCCAAGAUCGGAGGGUACUCUCUACUCGUCCGUUGCAACCUUGCAGUGAGCUGGAAGGCGUACUAAUUCCAGCUAUUUUCCCUAAAUUUAGAGAUAGAAUUUUGAAUUUUGAAUUAUCUCGAACGUCUCAGCUUAGACGAUUCUACCCUUUCCCCCUCAAAAGUCGAAAACCCUAAAUCUUUCUCUAUAAUUAUUCUCUUUCUUCUUCAUCAAAAGGGAAUUUUUUUGGGGAGAGGAUUAGAAGGCAAACAAGAGAAAUUUUUAGGAGGUUUUUGGGCAUUUCUUUCUUCUUGGAAAAUUUUGCUUUCAUCUUAAUGUUUCUUUAAGAAAAUUUGAGUGAGAAAUAGGAAAAGAAAGAUAAUAAUAACAGUAGUUAAGUAUUCGAGGAAGAAGAAAUACAUCUUGAACAAAAGUUCUUUGAACUAUUCGGUCCAUGUCACGGAGUUUCCAUUUUCGUUGUGACCGCCCAUUCGACUUUCGAAGUUUUCUUUGGUGUAACAGUGUUGCUCACCCUCUGCUCGUCGUCCCAGUGUUGCUGCUCAUAAGAAGUUCGCUAUGAACUGUCGCCUUCCUUGCACAUCGAGAGAGUCAUUAAGACUCAAAUUCCUCUUUUCGAGUCAACCAUUCAUACAUUCGGUGUACAGAUUUAGAGAUUGAAGAAUUCGAAGUGGCCAGAGUUGGAGAGUUGAGCCAAAGACCCUUUUUUUAUUUAUUUUGUAUCUUUUUUGCUAUUUUUUGGGCCUAAGUCCCUUGUCGUAUUUUAUUUUUCUAUAUCUAUUUUUGAAUUAUUAUUUGCUUAGUUUAUGACAGGUACAAAAGAAAAGUGGGUUGAAAAUCCAAAAAGUCGAAUGGGUCAAAACCGAAAAAUAAGUGGGUCCAAAUAACGGUGCAAGCGGACAGAUAACCUGAUAUGGGUCGUUUCCCAAAGUUUUAUAUGGUCAUUGAAGCGCCACCUCAACUCAAAAUGUUGUAUGAAAAUCUCGGCGGAGAUCAUAGAAGAACCCUCAAUAAGUCUGUGGGUGCUCUGACAGAAUUGAUCAACAUGAACGGCUGGCCAGAACUUGUUGAGGUCCUCACGGGAUAUUGGGAUAGCCAACGAAUGGUAUUCCGAUUUGGAACCGCUGAGAUUAGCUCAACUUUGGAGGAGAUCAGAGACUGCAUAGACACGGUAGGCACUGGGAUAGAAAGAAAGGCAAGAAAAUAAGAAGGCAUUUUCAUCUCUAAUAAACCUUUCAUAGAAGAUAUUAUGGACUAUCUCGGGUUGGGGAAAGACUUUACCUAGGUGCCAAGAAUCCCAUAUAGCAUUCAGAUAUCUUUAUAUCAGAUUUGGACAUGCGAGUUUCUACUCCAUUUACAAUAGAGAGUUCAUGGUCUCUUACAGAGAAUGGAAUGAAAUCCAUCCUCUAGCAUUCACUGUAGCAUUGUUGGGAAUGAUGGUCUUCCCGCAUGGCCCAAGUUUGAGUAUCAAUACCCGAGUUAUAACACUCGCACACACUCUAUUCAAAGGGUACGAGAAGCAAGGAAUAACAAAAUAUUACCUUAUAGCUCCGGUCAUCCUGUCCGACAUGUAUCGAGCCUUGGGAAAGCAUAAAGAGGGACAUCGAUACUUCCAAGGAUGAAACCUACUACUUCAGUGGUGGAUCCUUAGCCAUUUAGCGAAAUGUGCUGGGAAUCGGGAGCUGCAUACUCUUGACAACAAAAACACCCUUAAUUAUUUGAAUGACAUGUUGUACUGGGCAAAUAUGGACAACCAUAGACAAGGGGGAGAUGGGCUCAAAUUUUCUCCGAAUUGAGAGAAGAAGAUCUCCAAUGGAUGAUUGACCGUUUCAUCACCUAAAAAGUUGUUGUGGAUAUCCGCAGACAGGUUGUGCUUCCUCUACCAGGUUUUCGGGGAAUUUGCCCUUAUGCACCCUUUCAAGUCUUCCGACAGUUCUGGAGGAGAAAAAUUGUACCCAAAGAAGCGUACUAUGGGGCUUAUAUAUACGAUAUUGGAGAUGAUAGAGUGCACUACGCGAUUAAAAUGUUCAGAGAAUGGAAAAGUGCCAAGCGUAUGGAUAAAGACACCAUCGCCGCUGACCGAUUCAAUGCUGGAUAUGACAAGGGUUACAAAGAAUGGAUGAAGAAGGACAUACAAAACAUCUCCUCUCAAAACCCGCAUUGCUUUCGCAGCGUAACGGACAGAGAAGACAAAGCAAUGGACGAGCUAGAAAAGAUAAAGAAAGAGUCCCAAGAGGUGUAUGUUAAGUUUGUCGAGAAACAAGAUACUCUUGAGAGAGUGACUCAAGAGGUGGAAAUACUUAGUCGUGGUUAUGAUGAUUUUGAUACCUUGACGAAGGAGAAACUCGAGAGGAUGAGAUACGAAAUAUUGGAAGACAAAGGAUGCUUGGGUGAAGGAUUCUUGUUGAUGUGAAGAUAUAUGCUUCAGCAAUACAAGACUCAGGGGGACGGCGAUGGAGUAGGAUCAUCUGGAGAGGCAUAGUGGACUUCGCCCCUGCGUGGGUUUUUAUACGUAUUUGCAAUGUUUUUAGCCCCUGCAUGGGCCUGCCUUUAUUAUACUUUCAAAUGGCCCCCGUCCCCCUGAGUCUUGUAUUGCUGAAACAUAUAUCUUAACAUCAGCAAGAAUCCUUCACCCAGGCUUCCUUUGUCUUCCAAGCUUUCGUAUCGCAUCCUCUCGAUUUUCUCCUUGAUCAGGGUAUCGAAAUCAUCAUAACCACGCCUCAGUGUUUCCACCUCUUGAGUCACACUCUCAAGAGUAUCUUGGUUAUCGACAAACUUAGCGUACACUUCUUGGGCCUUGUUAAUUAUCUCUUUUAGCUCAGCCACUACUUUGACUUCUCUGUCCAUUACACUGUGAAAGCAACGCGGAGUUUGAGAGGAGACAUUUUAUAUGUCCUUCUUCAGCCAUUCUUUAUAACCCUUGUCAUGUCCAUCAUUGAAUCGGUCAAGGGCAAUGGUGUAUUUAUCCAUACGCUUGGCACUUUUAUAUUCUCUGAACAUUUCAGUCGCAUCGUGCAUUCUAUCUUCUUCAAUAUUGUAUACAUAAGCGCCAUAGUACGCUUCUUUGGGUACAUUUUGUCUCCUCCUGAACUGUCGCAAGACUUGAAAGGGUGAAUAGGGGAGAAUUCCCCAAAUACUUGGUAGAGGAAGCACAACCUGCCUACAGAUAUCCACAACGGCGUUUUUGGUGAUGAAAAGGUCAAGCAUCCAUCAGAGAUCUUCUUCUCUCAAUUCGGAGAAAAUUUGAGCCCAUCUCCCCCUUGUUAAAUUUAUUUUUGGGGGAAUUGUAUAUUGGGUUUAAAUUCACGCGUACAUCAUUCAAAUAUGCUAGGCCUACCCAUGGCACAAAAGGGUCCCUCUGUAUGUGUGAGGACGCGAUAUAUGUGUGGUUAACUGCUUAUGUGUUAUGUUGCUAUGAAUGAGGAUACUGUAAACUCACUCCUAUCUAGAAAUUUUCAAAGAAUAUACAAAAUUCGCUAUUACAAAAUGUCCGACCAAAAUUUCUAAGUCUUAAGUUUCUCACUCACAAGACACCUCUUAUACCACAAAUCCUAAAACAUUCAUUUUACCAUCUCAGGGAAGGCAAAAAUCACUGCUAUGGACAAAGGUAAGAACAUCCAGAUGGAACUCAAUGGAGAAGAACUACAAAGGAAGAUAGAACAGAUCACUCGGAAAAUACAAGAAGCCAAAGAGGAAGGGCUCAAAGUCGACAUGGCCACCGCAAUAUACAAAGUACAACCGUAAUGGUGGAUGAGGAUCUAGAAUCACAGAUGAAGAGAAAGAAAGAUGUCGAUAUAGAUAUAGAGGACUUCCGAGAGAAGUUGGACAAUCUUCGUUUGAAAGUGCAAGAAAGAGAAGCGGGAGAGGCGAGGAUAGAAUCAGAGACAUCCUCUCUUUUAGCUAAAAGCAUGUAACUUUAUGAGUAGCUGAUAAUAAAAUGGAAGAAUUUGCCUCCAUGAGAGAAAGGAUGGCUGCACUGAUGAAGAAGAACAAAGCCUUUCAUAGCAACAUGAUUGAUAAACAUUGGAAAAUUGUUUUAAAAUACCCCAUCUACGAUCAAGGAGCCAAUAGUGGUCCUGACAACGCUUACCCUAAAGCGACUGAGAAAGACGACGAUGAGGAAAUCGUCUACAAGCCUCCAUUCCUAGGUCAUCUGAAAGGAGGAGAUUAAUGCUGCAACAAGAAGGGAAAUGACUAACGUGCCGUCAUCAUUGUUGCCUUUCAAUUUCCUUGUAACCGUAAUGAACAAUGAAUGAAAUUAUUUUAGUUUGUACUCUAACUACGUUGGGACUGAAUUCUCUUUGUGAGAUACGUAAGCAUCUUUCUCAGGCCCGGCCCCUAUCUUUAAAAAUUUUCAUUCUCCCAUUUCAUGUUAUGAGAAGAUACGAAGACCACAUCAACGGAUGUCAAAGAGCAGCUGCAAGAAGACCGUAGCUCAACAUGAUUUACCCUUUCUAAGACAGUGUCAAAACUAAAACAAGAAAACUCCUUCUUGUUAAAAAAAAUGUGUUUCCGUCCUCACUCGUUGGUUGAAGAUAUCCUCAAACAAAGCAACUUGUGCGUUUAUCUGCUCUCUGUGUGAUAUUAUGCAUUUUGUACUCUUAAUCUGCACUGACAAAGUUGCCUUUGAGUUUUUUUCCUUCUAAGGUACUUUGGAACUGAUCUGUGUCAAUCAAAAGCUGGAAGAUCAUUCCUAUUUCACCAAAUCAAAAGGUCCCGCAGAUUCCUUCCCUAGACAAAACAUUGACAAACGUAAGACUGUUAUGGGGGAUAAUAAUGAAGAAGUAAGUCUUACUAAUGUUUUGGUGUCUCAACCCACCAUAGCGGACCAGAAUUAGUUGAUUCUGCUGCUGAUGGAACAUAUUGCAGAGAUGCAAAGGAGACAAGAUCUACCUCCGCCGAUUUUCGCCACUAACGCUGCUGAUGGGAGACCUCCAAUCUACUUCCCUUCCUCAAAUAUGGAUCCAACCCAAAACAAGCCAUCUACACCUGCUCAGAAUCCGUCGGUUAUAGAUCUGACUACCUAAAAUCCCCAUUAUGCUUCCGCAUCUUAAAAACUCCACCUCCUCCUCAAAACAACAAUCCCCAAAUUCCACCCCAUCCUCAAAAUACCUAUCAUCAAACUACUCCACCACCACAAAAUAAAAACCAAAAUCAAAACCAAAAUACAUUAAAUCCCUAAACACCCCACAACCACUUAAUUCAGAAUACCAAUCCUAAGACUUUCCCCCAGAAUUAUCAAACCGCUCAAAAUGCUAAAGUCCCUCUAUAGCUUCACCCUUACCAAAGAGAGCCGUUUUCCAAAUUCCUGUCACUGUCGAGCACGAUGUUCACGGUUAUGAGUUGGACCAUACGAGGAAUGGGAAAAGGAGUUGAGGGCAAACGAAAGGUAAAGGCUGACAUAAAGGAAAAGAUCAAGAAAGCUACGAAAUAUCUCCAAUUCGUCCCGGAUGUCACCGGGCUUAGUUAUGAAGACUUGUGCAUUCAUCAAAAUUUGGACUUUCUAGAAGGGUUAAAGAUCCCAAAGUUUGACACCUUCGGAGGAGUGGGAAACCGUAUGGUUCAUCUGAGAGCCUACUGUGACCAGCUCGUGGGAGUUGGAAGGGAUGAACCUUUACUUAUGUGGCUCUUCGCCGAAGCCUGUGCGGAGAAGCUCGUGAAUGUUUCACGUUGCAUGAAACCAGGCAAUGGCCCAGCUAGAAUGCAAUGGCCAAAGAUUUUAUUGAUCGAUUAUCUUACAACAUAGAAAUUGUUCCAGACCGAUACUCUUCGGAGAAGAUGAAGCGCAAGUGAACUGAGAGCUAUAGGGAGUUUGCCCAUAGGUGGAGAAAAGAAGCGGCAAGGGUGAGACCACCCAUGUCUGCCAAAUGAAUUGUUGAAAUAUUCGUGCUCGUGCAAGAGCCUGAACAUUAUGAUUAAAUUAUGUUGCUCGUUGGAGCUAAAUUUACCGAGAUAGUCAAGAUUGGUGAGACUAUCAAGGACAGUUUGAAAUCAGGAAAGAUAGCCAGCAUAGCCGCAUCGCGUGGAUCUUCGAUGUUGUUGAAAAAGAAAAGAGAAGAAAUCGCUGUUGUUUCAUAUGGGGGAAGGAAAACCCCCAGAACAUCGUCAUAUUCCAAGGGUCGCUCUCGACCUUCUCAAAACUCCCACCAAGCUUGCUACACAUAAGCUAGUCAUCCAAAUAUCCUCCAAUUUAUUAGUGCUACCUCCAUUUAUCCAAACGUCCAAACUCCACUAUACCCAAGUCCACCCCUAAAUUAUCAAAAUUUAUCUCCCAUUUACCAAAAUCAUCCUCCACCCUACCAAAUUCCAUCUCCCUACCAGCGUGUUGCUCCCAACUGCGCUAACGUGUAGUCGAGCUACCAAGCACCCCCUCUUAUUUAUCAAGUCCAAGCUCCACUACACAAAAAUUGCCCUCGGAAUUACCAAGCUCCAUCACCAAACUACCAAACAAAUCCAUAUCCCAAAAGCCAAUCUCCCCGUCCAAAUACCAAAAGUUAUCAACAAGAGCCUCCUCCUCAAAAAGGCAGUUCUGACCCUCCCCGACCCAGAUUCAAGAAGAAGCCUUCAAGGAAAUUCACUGCGCUCACUGAAACCAAACAAAGUCGUAUGAGCGACUAGCUGCGUCCAGAUACAUCCACCCUAUGGGGCCCAAACCCGUGGAUGUCAAUUCACAAUUCUACAUAGUCGAUCAGAGAUGUGCUUAUCAUUCCAACAGUGUUGGGCAUGACACUGAGGAUUGUAUCAACCUUAAGCACAAAAUUCAAGAUUUGAUUGACAAAAAGGUAGUCUCUCUCUAACUAGAGGCACCAAAUGUCAACACCAACCCGCUGCCGAAUCAUGGGGGUGGCAAUGUCAAUAUGAUCGAAAUAGAGGAUUACUGGUGUGGAACGAAAAUGAUUACUUCCAUCCUUCAUGAUGAUUUGGAAAAGGUUGUAUCUUCUUUGAGCAUCAAAGAGAAGAAAGAGUUGUUAUUUUUACACCCGCAAAGGUUAUUGCUUUGUGGCAACAAAAACUCUCAUCAAGCCUAAGUUCGUUAUUGAAACUGCUGCUGCUCAUGGCAUGACCAUAUCCGGAAUAUGUUACACUCCUGACGAUCUUGGUAUCGGAGGUCAAAAGAAGGAUCAGGCUAAAAAACCAAUAAGCGAAGGAGAAGAAGAGGAAUUCUGGUGGAGAAUGCAACCAAAAGAUUAUUCUAUUGUCAAGCAUCUGGAGAAGACUCCGGCCCAGAUUUCACUAUAGGCCCUGCUGAUGAUUUCUCAAUCAGACAAGCAAGCUUUAAUGAAGGCUCUCGAUUAUACGUAUGUACCCGCGGGCACAAAUAGAUGUGUCGAGUCAAAUAAUAACAAAUAAAAGUGAGCACCUUUCGAAGGGAGGUCACACAACAAGGCGUUGCACAUCACUUUGGUAUGCCGCGAAAGGGUGGUCAACCGCAUCUUAGAAGAUGAUUGAUAUGGUUUGAAUAUCUGCCAGUUUUCGACGUUGAGGAAUUUAAGGUUUGACUUCGGGAAGCUGGAACAAAACAAAGUCAACGUAAGAUCCUUUGGUGAGGUUCAAAGAGAUACGUUGAGAUCGAUGAAUCUGAUCAUCCAAAUGGGCCCAGCAGAAUUCAGCGCACAAUUUCAAGUAUUGGAUAUCGAUACGAGCUAUAACCUUCUUCUGGGAAGGCCUUUCAUCCAUAUGGAUGGAGCUGUCUACUCUGCAUCAGAUGAUGAAUCUUAUUUCAAAAAAUGAAGAGAUAGUUAUUCAUAGCGAAGGGAGUCAGUCUGGCAGACAUGCGCCAAUCAUUGAUGAGAUAUCGCGAGGUAUAGAUUUCUACACGGUCGAGCUGGUAAAUGCCACCGGUGAAGACUUGGCCCCAUAGACUCCCAUGCCUGUCGUGUACAAGAUGAUAGCCACUGUGAUGCUGUAGAGUGGUUUUGAACCAGGUUUCGGAUUGGGAAGAAAUUCCCCAGGAAUGGUUGAUCCUAUUCCGGUCCUCGUCAAGGGAUCCAGAUAUGGUUUGGGGUACAUCCCCACAGAUGAUGACACGAAGACGUAGAAGAAAAAUAAUCAAGCAUUGGCUAAGCUGAUCUCAUAUCUGUAUCAAUCUUUCCCAGUCCGGGAGUAUGUCGAGCAUGAAGACCUUAAGGAAGGAAUCUGUGACCUCUUCGAGGAGAUCAAUGUUGUUAUUGAUGAACAGGUCGAGCUAGCUGGUAUCCGCGAUGCUGAGCAAGGAGUGAUGCUGUGGAACUGGGCCUCCACGCCCAUCCUAAUUCCCCAAACUCCUCGGUAGAAGGGCAUCGUUUCAUGCAUUUUUAAAUCGGUGGUAGUCUGGAAGAGGCCCGAGACCCACCAUUUUCAUAUUUUUUAGCUGUUUUGAAUUUUUAAAUUUCCAUCGUGAUGUUCAAAGAAGGCAACAUGGCCCUAUGACAUUGCCAAAGUUUGCAUUAUUCUCCAAUUUGAAUGAAAGCCUCUUCUGUUUUUAAAAUCUA